CUGGGCGUAAAGAGUUGCGUAGGCGGCAUUGUAAGCAGGUAGUGAAAGCGUGUGGCUCAACCAUACUCACAUUAUCUGAACUGCAAAGCUAGAGGACGAGAGAGGUUAUUGGAAUUCCUUGUGUAGGAGUGAAAUCCGUAGAUAUAAGGAGGAACACCGAUGGCGUAGGCAGAUAACUGGCUCGUUCCUGACGCUCAGGCACGAAAGCGUGGGGAGCAAACGGGAUUAGAUACCCCGGUAGUCCACGCCGUAAACGAUGGAUGCUAGCUGUAUUCGGUAUCGACCCCGGAUGUAGCGAAGCUAACGCGUUAAGCAUCCCGCCUGUGGAGUACGGUCGCAAGACUAAAACAUAAAGGAAUUGACGGGGACCCGCACAAGCGGUGGAGCGUGUUGUUUAAUUCGAUGGUAAACGAAGAACCUUACCCAGGUUUGACAUCCUGCGAAGGUCUCCGAAAGGAGACUGUGCCUUGUGAGCGCAGUGACAGGUGAUGCAUGGCCGUCGUCAGCUCGUGUCGUGAGAUGUUUGGUUAAGUCCAUCAACGAGCGCAACCCUUAUGGUCUGUUGUAUUUUUCAGGCCAGACUGCCCUGGUAACAGGGAGGAAGGAGGGGAUGAUGUCAGGUC
rnacentral:rRNA from 1 species